rnacentral:rRNA from 1 species
UACGUAGGGUGCGAGCGUUGUCCGGAAUUAUUGGGCGUAAAGAGCUCGUAGGCGGUUUGUCGCGUCUGCCGUGAAAGUCCGGGGCUCAACUCCGGAUCUGCGGUGGGUACGGGCAGACUAGAGUGAUGUAGGGGAGACUGGAAUUCCUGGUGUAGCGGUGAAAUGCGCAGAUAUCAGGAGGAACACCGAUGGCGAAGACAGGUCUCUGGGCAUUAACUGACGCUGAGGAGCGAAAGCAUGGGGAGCGAACAGG